AAAAUGGUUAACUAGUUUUUCAUGAGCGGCUUGAAAUAUAAAUAAUUUUGAAACAUUUAUUUCCUAUUUUUAUUAGCCCAUAGGCCAUGAUUUGGUACCAGUAGUUUGUCAAAAUUUGAGUCCUUUGUACACUUGGACAUGGACAUGUACUUUAUAUAGGAAGGUCAAAAUGUAAGGGCCUUUGUUCACUUAAACAUGAACAUCAUGCUUUAUAUACUAGUAUAGGAAUGACAUGAACAUAAUACUCUAUAUAGGAAUGACAUGAACAUAAUACACUAUAUAGGAAUGACAUGACCAUAAUACUUUAUAUAGGAAUGACAUGAACAUAAAACUCUAUAUAGGAAUGACAUGAAAAUAAUACUCUAUAUAGGCAUGUUAAAAUGUAAGAGGCCUUUGUGCCCUUGAACAUGAAAAUAAUACUCUUAUAGGCAGGUUAAAAUGUUAGAAGCCUUUGUGCAUUUGAACAUAAUACUCGUAUAGGCAGGUUAAAAUGUUAGAGGCCUUUGUGCAUUUGAACAUAAUACUCGUAUAGGCAGGUUAAAAUGUUAGAGGCCUUUGUGCAUUUGAACAUAAUACUCGUAUAGGCAGGUUAAAAUGUUAGAGGCCUUUGUGCAUUUGAACAUAAUACUCGUAUAGGCAGGUUAAAAUGUUAGAGGCCUUUGUGCAUUUGAACAUAAUACUCGUAUAGGCAGGUUAAAAUGUUAGAGGCCUUUGUGCAUUUGAACAUAAUACUCGUAUAGGCAGGUUAAAAUGUUAGAGGCCUUUGUGCAUUUGAACAUAAUACUCGUAUAGGCAGGUUAAAAUUUUAGAAGCCUUUGUGCAUUUGAACAUGAACAUAAAACUCUUAUAGGCAGGUUAAAAUGUUAGAGGCCUUUGUACACUUGAACAUGAACAUAAAACUCUUAUAGGCAGGGUAAAAUAUUAGAGGCCUUUGUACACUUGAACAUGAACAUAAAACUCUUAUAGGCAGGGUAAAAUGUUAAGAGGCCUUUGUACACUUGGACAUGAACAUAAUACUCUGUAUAGGCAGGUUUUAAGUAUUUUUAGGUGUUUGUAUUCUUAGACAAUAAUUUUUACUCCAAAUGUGCACAUUUAAGUGAAAGAAGCGUUUGAAUGCUUGGAAAUUAACACAAACUCUACAUGUAACCCAAGUCUGAUAACUAUAGUAUAAAAUAAGUUUAAACAAAUAGGGUUGUGGUUAAUGAUGUAUGAAGGUAAGCUGGUUUCUAAUUGUAGUUUUGAAAUGUUUAAAAUACCCCUGGUUUAAAAUGUUUAUAAUACCACUGGAAACCAAGUUUGAGCAAGUAUUUGACUGCCUG